rnacentral:SRP_RNA from 2 species
GCCGGGCGUGGUGGUGCGUGCCUGUAGUCCCAGCUACUGGGGAAGCUGAGGCAGAAGAAUCGCUUGAACCCAGGAGGUGGAAGUUGCAGUGAGCCAAGAUCGUGCCACUGCACUCCAGCCUGGGUGACAGAGCGAGAUUCUGUCUCAA